ncrna:unclassified sequences Rhodo-rpoB RNA
GAACCGGGAGACUUUCUAACGGGAAGAAAGUCAAGAAUAGGUUUUCGCAGUUCCUCUCUCGUGUGGGAAUACAUCUGGAACCCGACAGAUUGUAUU